rnacentral:rRNA from 1 species
GACAGAGGAUGCAAGCGUUAUCCGGAAUCACUGGGCGUAAAGCGUCUGUAGGUGGUUUAAAAAGUCUAUUGUUAAAAAUUGAAGCUUAACUUCAAAGAUGCAAUGGAAACUUUUUAAACUUGAGUAUGGUAGGGGUAGAGGGAAUUUCCAGUGGAGCGGUGAAAUGCGUAGAUAUUGGAAAGACCACCAAUGGCGAAGGCACUCUACUGGGCCAUUACUGACACUGAGAGACGAAAGCUAGGGGAGCAAAUGGG